AGAGUUUGAUCAUGGCUCAGGACGAACGCUGGCGGCGUGCUUAACACAUGCAAGUCGAGGGGGGUUGGGGCUUCGGCCCCGGCUCACCGGCGAACGGGUGCGUAACACGUGAGCGACCUGCCCUACCUGCGGGGGAUAGCCGGCCCAACGGCCGGGUAAUACCGCAUACGCUUCUCUGGGGGCAUACCCGGGGAAGGAAAGCCUUCGGGCGCGGGAGGAGGGGCUCGCGGCCUAUCAGCUAGAUGGUGUGGUAACGGCGCACCAUGGCGACGACGGGUAGCUGGUCUGAGAGGAUGGCCAGCCACAUUGGGACUGAGAGACGGCCCAGACUCCUACGGGAGGCAGCAGUGGGGAAUCUUGCGCAAUGGCCGGAAGGCUGACGCAGCGACGCCGCGUGUAGGAGGACGCCCCUCGGGGUGUAAACUACUGUUGCCCGGGACGAACCCCUGGUUUCGACCAGGCUGACGGUACCGGGUGAGGAAGCACCGGCUAACUCCGUGCCAGCAGCCGCGGUAAUACGGAGGGUGCGAGCGUUGUCCGGAAUCACUGGGCGUAAAGGGCGCGUAGGCGGCCCGGUAAGUCUGCGGUGAAAGCCCGGGGCUCAACCCCGGGUCGGCCGUGGGUACUGCGGGGCUCGAGCACUGUAGGGGCAGGCGGAAUUCCGGGUGUAGCGGUGGAAUGCGUAGAGAUCCGGAAGAACACCGGUGGCGAAGGCGGCCUGCUGGGCAGUGCUGACGCUGAGNNNNGCAGCGUGGGGAGCAAACAGGAUUAGAUACCCNNGUAGUCC
rnacentral:rRNA from 1 species